CCCUUAGAUGUUCUGGGCUGCACGCGCGCUACACUGAUGCACUCAACGAGUUUACGACCUUGUCCGAGAGGAUUGGGUAAUCUUUUUAAAAUGCAUCGUGAUGGGGAUAGAUUAUUGCAAUUAUUAAUCUUCAACGAGGAAUUCCUAGUAAGCGCGAGUCAUCAGCUCGUGCUGAUUACGUCCCUGCCCUUUGUACACACCGCCCGUCGCUCCUACCGAUUGGGUGUGCUGGUGAAAUGUUCGGAUCGGCCGUUUGUCGCGGUUUCCGCGGCUCGUGGCUGAGAAGUUCAUUAAACCCUCCCACCUAGAGGAAGGAGAAGUCGUAACA
rnacentral:rRNA from 1 species